rnacentral:rRNA from 1 species
CUCUUGGUGGCGAGUGGCGGACGGGUGAGUAAUAUAUCGGAACGUGCCCAGUAGCGGGGGAUAACUACUCGAAAGAGUGGCUAAUACCGCAUACGCCCUACGGGGGAAAGGGGGGGAUUCUUCGGAACCUCUCACUAUUGGAGCGGCCGAUAUCGGAUUAGCUAGUUGGUGGGGUAAAGGCUCACCAAGGCAACGAUCCGUAGCUGGUUUGAGAGGACGACCAGCCACACUGGGACUGAGACACGGCCCAGACUCCUACGGGAGGCAGCAGUGGGGAAUUUUGGACAAUGGGGGAAACCCUGAUCCAGCCAUCCCGCGUGUAUGAUGAAGGCCUUCGGGUUGUAAAGUACUUUUGGCAGAGAAGAAAAGGUAUCUCCUAAUACGAGAUACUGCUGACGGUAUCUGCAGAAUAAGCACCGGCUAACUACGUGCCAGCAGCCGCGGUAAUACGUAGGGUGCAAGCGUUAAUCGGAAUUACUGGGCGUAAAGCGUGUGUAGGCGGUUCGGAAAGAAAGAUGUGAAAUCCCAGGGCUCAACCUUGGAACUGCAUUUUUAACUGCCGAGCUAGAGUAUGUCAGAGGGGGGUAGAAUUCCACGUGUAGCAGUGAAAUGCGUAGAUAUGUGGAGGAAUACCGAUGGCGAACGCAGCCCCCUGGGAUAAUACUGACGCUCAGACACGAAAGCGUGGGGAGCAAACAGGAUUAGAUACCCUGCUAGUCCACGCCCUAAACGAUGUCUACUAGCUGUUGGGGCCGUUACGCCUUAGUAGCGCAGCUAAUACGUGAAGCUGACGUCUGUGG